GACGAACGCUGGCGGCGUGCCUAACACAUGCAAGUCGAACGGAGAUGUCCUUCGGGAUAUCUUAGUGGCGAACGGGUGAGUAACGCGUGGGUAACCUGCCCUUUUAUCGGGGAUAACUUGCCGAAAGGUGAGCCAAUACCGGAUGUCCUAUUUUAGACACAAGUUUAAGAUAACAAGGGUGGCCUCCUUACAAUGCUACCGUAAAAGGAUGGACCCGCGUGUGAUUUAGCUAGUUGGUGAGGUAAUGGCUCACCAAGGCGACGAGCAGUAGCCGGCCUGGGAGGGUGAACGGCCAAGCUGGGACUGAGACACGGCCCAGAGUCCUACGGGAGGCAGCAGUGGGGAAUCUUCCGCAAUGGACGAAAGUCUGACGGAGCAACGCCGCGUGAGUGACGGAGGUCUUCGGAUUGUAAAACUCUGUUUUUUGGGACGAACGGCUCAUAUGUGAAUAAUGUAUGGUAUUGACGGUACCAAAGGAGGAAGCCCCGGCUAACUACGUGCCAGCCGCCGCCGUAAUAC
rnacentral:rRNA from 1 species